rnacentral:piRNA from 1 species
UUGUCUGCAUGACUGAUAGCCACAG